GCGGGAAUAGCUCAGUCGGUAGAGCGCAACCUUGCCAAGGUUGAGGUCGCGAGUUCAAAUCUCGUUUCCCGCUCAA
rnacentral:tRNA from 1 species